GAUGAACGCUGGCGGCGUGCUUAACACAUGCAAGUCGAACGGAAAGGCCACAGCUUGCUGUGGUACUCGAGUGGCGAACGGGUGAGUAACACGUGGGUGAUCUGCCCUGUACUUCGGGAUAAGCUUGGGAAACUGGGUCUAAUACCGGAUAGGAAUCACAUGUGGGUGUGUGGUUGGAAAGCUUUUGCGGUAUGGGAUGAGCUCGCGGCCUAUCAGCUUGUUGGUGGGGUAAUGGCCUACCAAGGCGUCGACGGGUAGCCGGCCUGAGAGGGUGUACGGCCACAUUGGGACUGAGAUACGGCCCAGACUCCUACGGGAGGCAGCAGUGGGGAAUAUUGCACAAUGGGCGCAAGCCUGAUGCAGCGACGCCGCGUGGGGGAUGACGGCCUUCGGGUUGUAAACUCCUUUCGUCAGGGACGAAGCGAAAGUGACGGUACCUGGUUAAGAAGCACCGGCUAACUACGUG
rnacentral:rRNA from 1 species